rnacentral:rRNA from 1 species
UAGGGAAUUUUCCACAAUGGACGAAAGUCUGAUGGAGCAACGCCGCGUGCAGGAUGAAUGCCUUCGGGUUGUAAACUGCUUUUAUCUGUGACGAUUUUGACGGUAGCAGAUGAAUAAGGAUCGGCUAACUCCGUGCCAGCAGCCGCGGUCAUACGGAGGAUCCAAGCGUUAUCCGGAAUUACUGGGCGUAAAGAGUUGUGUAGGCGGUUUGUUAAGCAAAUAGUGAAAGCGUGGGGCUCAACCUCAUAUCCAUUAUUUGAACUGGCAGACUAGAGUGUGGAAGAGGUAGCUGGAAUUCCUAGUGUAGGAGUGAAAUCCGUAGAUAUUAGGAGGAACACCGAUGGCGUAGGCAGGCUACUGGUCCAUUACUGACGCUCAGACACGAAAGCAUGGGGAGCGACCGGG